UAUGUCAGAACCGGUACCCAUCCCAACUGCCAAAGUUAGCUUUUGAAACAACAGCUCAGCUCAUUUCAUGUCAUAAUAUGGUUUUAUAACAUAUAUAAAGGUUAUUCUGCAAUUAAAUUAUUACAGCAACUGAAAGCAUAAAAUACCUGGAGCAGCUACUAAAGAGCAUCGGUAAUAGCUAGUUGAGACUGGGAGCUGGUCAGCAGGGACCAUGGCUGUUAUUUGCUCCAGGGCCUGCUUGCAGGGUUCAAGUGAUCCUGUUAAAAUUCAACCUCACUCACUGAGGACACCAACAACAGUGACGAUCAGGAACAAUCUGCCUGAUACACAUCCUGGAAAUCAGGAUCCAGGAGUCGGGCCAGAUAUCUCACCUGCAGUUCGACACUUCAGAUACACUUCUGCAACACAGAGGAGUUAUGAGGACGUUGGAUGGAUUACAAAGGUACCGCGGCACUUGAAGGCACCAGAAGCAACCCUGGAGAAACUGGCAGACCCAGUGAGUGAGCGUGCCUCACUGAGGCGCUACAACAGCCGACCUCAGCUGUGGCAGUCUGUAGGAGCCGAGUGGAACAGGCGACAGCUUCGACUGAGGAAUGAUGCCAAGAAACCAAUAUCUUUCUGCAGUACAUAUCCAAGAUCAGGUCAGAUCCCUCUGUACACUGGCACCGUCGGCUCUGAGAACAUGGAUAACAUUGACAACAUGGAUGAAGACUUCCACCCACUGACAGUGAAGAGGAGCGUCGUUCCUCCACACACGCCGACAGCACGCCGAACCACCAUCCCUGGCUACACAGGCAUGGCUGCCUAUGCUGACUCUGCUGCUCCUGCAACUUCUGCAGGUUCAUCUGGAGCAUUCGAAGAACUUGGAACUUCUGUUUUCAGGCACACGGCGCCCCUGUCCAGAACGGUGACCGCCGUGCCUCCCUGCAACCCCUUCAUGAGACCUGUGCUUCCUGUCUGGUGCACAAGCGCCACAGCAAGACUUUAGACAAACGAGAUGAGAGAGAGCUCGAAGGUGUCAGCUUCCUAUUCACGCCAUCCAAUCUGUUUAUAUGAAUACAUCUACGAUGAUGUGAUGUCAGUGAGUUAUUCAGAAUGUUACCAGUUAAUGCAUCGCUGAGAACAUUGGUGAGUAAAGUGAAUUAUGUGCAUGGAAAGGUUAAGAUUUAUCCCUUUUCCUUUAUGCUGCUGUGACUCCAGUGAAUCUAGAGGCAGCACCCUUCCUUUUGGCACGAUAUCAGCUCACGGCUCUGUUGGUGAUUGAUGUCUAACAGCCACAGAUUAUUAUGCUAAACAACUAAUGCUAAAAAACAGCUGUUAGUUUUGUUAAAGCGAGCCUUUUCAGUUGUAAUUAGUGCUGUUUUGCAUUGAUUUUAUGACUUUUGAAAGAGACUAGAAAGUUGAGGAAUUAACUCCUUGGCUUUCUUGCACAUUUAGAUAGCAGGACUCUCUUAACAGCUUAGCUUAGCGUACAAAUGCAUGAAAUUGCAGAGGACAACGCCAAUUUUUAAAGCUCACUAUUUAACCCCUAAUAAUGUGGCUGUCUGCAGCCAUGUUUCUAGUAUUUAUUUCACCUGGUGGUACAAUACAUAUUCAGCGUACAACACGACAGUGGUAAUAAUCUUGAGAGUGAGACGGCCUCACUGUAUAGCACCCAAUUUACUUUGUGUUUAAGACCAACAGGACUACGUAAGACUUCUCAUAGCAAUCAUAACUCUAUUUGCUAAAAACCUCCUCCUCCUCCUCCUCCAGCUUAGAUUUUCCAGCCUGUGGUCUGAAUCUCAUCACCGGCUCCUUUUCAAAACAGGCUCACAAACACCAUGAUUGAUUCAGCCACUAUCCUCCAGGAUCUCUCAAUGCUUGCCCGGGCUGCAGAUUAAUUUCCUUUUCCUCAUCUUAAUUUUUACUCAUCGCCGCUCCAUAAAAAGGCUAAAUGUCAAGCAUGCCUGACUCCUUCUAGUGACACGUCUAUUCCAGCAGAUAAUUACCAUAAGGAAAUUGAUGCUUUAGUGUGCAGAGGGGAAUUUAAUUUACUCUGACAUCCUCGCAGCAUAAUGCAUUCCUAAAGAAAGAGAGUUUUUCACUUUGCAAUUGACUUUUUAGAUAAAUUGGACUAUUUAAUGUGAUUAUCGGUCUUGAACGUCUUUGACUUAUUAAGGUGUUGAAACCAAUUAAGGGUUACAUGCUGCUCAUGCUUCCAAAUGUGAAACAGUGAAUACUGCUUAAAGAUCCAUGAAAUAAGAACCGUCCGCAGCCUAUUGUAUGUUAGUCAGCCGGCUACAUUGCCUGAUGAUGUUUUGAGGCUUGCUAGAUAAUGAUAUUAAUUACAACAACAUGGCUUGCUUCAGGUUGUGGAUUAACCUGAGAGAGCAAAGGGUUCUGUGCAGUUUGAGUCACACUCCAUGCAUGUCACAUGUGUCAUUUUCGAUGCUACAGAGUUAUAAUAACCUUAUAAAACCUUGAAGUUCGAGAGCAUUUCCAAACGACCAGUAAGAAUUGAACAAGUCAGGCAUUAGAGGGAAGAUCUGAAUAUUGAUCCCACUUCUGCUGGUACUUCUCUAAAGUUUCGGCUGAAGUGAAGCUGCUGUGUCACUGAACAGGACAGCAUCUCUUAUCGCAGGCGAUCACAGCCAUGAACCGACAUCUUCGAGUUCGCCAGUAGCGCUGAGUCACAUUUUUCGUCCCAGCCUUCCCUUUGCAUGACCUCAGGAGUUAACCCAUCUUGCAGCGUGUUCACACCUUUGCAUGUCAUGCGUUAAAACGGACCUUACAGAAGAAAAAAAAAAAGCAACACCGACUGUGAGGCUAUGAGGAAGUCAGCGAGCGUUGCUGCAAUCCAUAUUAUGGCCAUGAAGACACAGCAGGCCGCAUUGCUCCUGC